rnacentral:rRNA from 1 species
AUUAUGAGAGUUUGAUCCUGGCUCAGGACGAACGCUGGCGGCGUGCCUAAUACAUGCAAGUCGAACGCUUCUUUCCUCCCGAGUGCUUGCACUCAAUUGGAAAGAGGAGUGGCGGACGGGUGAGUAACACGUGGGUAACCUACCCAUCAGAGGGGGAUAACACUUGGAAACAGGUGCUAAUACCGCAUAACAGUUUAUGCCGCAUGGCAUAAGAGUGAAAGGCGCUUUCGGGUGUCGCUGAUGGAUGGACCCGCGGUGCAUUAGCUAGUUGGUGAGGUAACGGCUCACCAAGGCCACGAUGCAUAGCCGACCUGAGAGGGUGAUCGGCCACACUGGGACUGAGACACGGCCCAGACUCCUACGGGAGGCAGCAGUAGGGAAUCUUCGGCAAUGGACGAAAGUCUGACCGAGCAACGCCGCGUGAGUGAAGAAGGUUUUCGGAUCGUAAAACUCUGUUGUUAGAGAAGAACAAGGACGUUAGUAACUGAACGUCCCCUGACGGUAUCUAACCAGAAAGCCACGGCUAACUACGUGCCAGCAGCCGCGGUAAUACGUAGGUGGCAAGCGUUGUCCGGAUUUAUUGGGCGUAAAGCGAGCGCAGGCGGUUUCUUAAGUCUGAUGUGAAAGCCCCCGGCUCAACCGGGGAGGGUCAUUGGAAACUGGGAGACUUGAGUGCAGAAGAGGAGAGUGGAAUUCCAUGUGUAGCGGUGAAAUGCGUAGAUAUAUGGAGGAACACCAGUGGCGAAGGCGGCUCUCUGGUCUGUAACUG